GGGUUUUUGACUUAAAUUUUUGGUGGUUCCCAACAAAAUCCAGCCAGCAACGGCCAACUGGAGAAGGGAGAAGAUGGAGAAGAGAAAUGGAGGGAGAUUGGGGUUUUGUACCUCAUCUCUAGCAAGAUUGGGUGCAUGGUAGCAAUGCUGAAUUUUGUAUAGGAUAACGGACAACUAUCAAAAUCUAGAGGUCAAACCAAAAUCAAGAGAGAU
rnacentral:lncRNA from 1 species